AGUGAGGACGGACUGCAUGCGGCCGUGCGGGCGGGCGUGAACGCGGCACUGGCGGGUUUCUUCAGUUUAUAAGCGUUUCCAUGGUCGCACGGGGGGUUCCCGCGACGUCACUUCUUGGUUACGCUGACACGAACGGAGGCGCCGGGCGGAAGCUCCGACGGAGUGACCAGCUGGAAACGCCAGAAGGAUUGUUUGCACGUUGAGGGGUGGGACUGAACCUGUCAUUGUUUUUCCUGACAUUUGCCGCUGGGGGACGUGACCUGAUGACGCCCCUGGGGAUCCGAUGGGGUUGCCAGCCGACAUGUCUCAGUGAAUGUAUGACUGUGAGAGAUCCCAUCUAGCUGUAUCAGAUGUCCUAUGAGAACCGUGAGUUUCUUUCUGGCUUCAUUAGCCUGUACCGCGAGGAGGAGUGUCUGUGGCUGACGUCCUCACCGGACUACAGCAACAAGCAGAAGAGGGAGUCUGCUUAUACACGGAUGGUGGAGUACUCCAAGCCCACCUUCUCUGCUGCCUCGGUGGCCUGGGUCCGUAAGAAGAUCGCCAAUCUACGGACAGUCUUUGUUAAAGAAAAUCGCAAGGUGGAGGAGUCCAAGAGGUCAGGGGCCGGCGCAGACAAUGUGUAUGUGUCGCAGCUCUGGUACUUUAAGGAUCUCAACUUCCUCCUGGAGAAAAGGUCUGCUAAGGAGUCCAUGGUGGUGAUGGCCGAGUUCGAGGAGGGAAGUCUGGACGUGGACGAGGCUGAAGGGAGACACCUGAAGAAGACCUCAGCCGGACCACUGCCCUCAUCAACACCUCCCCUGAGGAACCUACCUCUCCGCCGCGACCUACUGGGAAGAGGAAGUCACGGAAAACAAAAUUUGUAGAGGACCCUCUCCUAGCGGAGGCACAUUCACAUCUGCUACGUAAACCUGACGAGUUUGACAACUUUGCUGUGUAUGUCAGCAAAAUAAUGCGGAAGGUUUCUGCGCAGCAGCAGGUAGAGUGCCAGCACCUGGUGUCGCAGGUGUUGUACGAAACACUAUCAGGGCAUCUGACACCGGAGUGGACGUCCAUGGCCCUGAACCUAAAGCACCUGCUCCUCAUUUCCCAUUGUCCUUUUGUUCACCACCACCCACCUACCCUACAUCUACUACUCCCCAUCCCAGCUAUCAUUCCGGUUAUCCGCAACCACAGGCCCAAUCCAACUACCUUUCCGCCACUUUCCAUCCUCCUCAAACCCCUCCUCAUCAAACCAUCCACCCUUUCCGUUUUCGUCAACCCCCCAACCCCAUCCACGCACCCUUCCCCCACUUUCCAAUCUCUUCCUCAAACCAGCUACCCUUCCCAAGCCAGCCAUACAUCCACCAUCUCCUCCGCAAAUAUGACCUCCUUGAUGUCACAGGGGGGACAAGUGGACGAGGAGGAGGAGACAAGUCUCUUUCAAAUGUAGGGUGAUUCUCAAUUACUGGUGCCCUUGUUAUACAUACCAACAGAUGUGGUGUAGUCUGAUACUACGGUGAUGGUCAACGCUUUCAGGCGGACAAUGCACACAUGCUGCUAGGGACUGGUUGAUGGUACUGGGGACCCAUCUUCCUGCCCCUAGCAGCAUGUGUGCAUUGAGCCCCUGGCUGCGGUGCCACUCAACACCGCAGUAUCAGAAUGCACCAUAUCUGUUGGUAUAUAUAACAUUCCUGCUGCCCUGGUAUAUACUGUGAUAGAUCUGUUGCACUAUGAUAUACAGCGUUUUAGUGGUGCCGCUUUCAGGUGGACAAUGCACACAUGCAGCUUGGGUCCGGUUGAUGGUGCCGGGGAGCCUGAAGCCGGACCUACCUGCAUUAUGCCCCUUAAAGCGCUACCACUCCAAAAACAAUGUAUAUCAUAGUGCACCGCAUAUCAUACAGCACUUAUAUAUUGCAACAGAUGUACUGCAUUGUGAUACUACGGCGUUGAGUGGUACCACAGGCAGGGGCACAAUGCACACAUGCAACUUGGUGCAGGUUGAUGGAACCGGGGACCCAUCUUCCUACCCUAAGUUGCAUGUGUGCAUUGUGCCCCUGCCUGCGGUGCCACUCAAUGUUGUAGUAUCAAAAUGCACCACAUCUGUUGCAAUAUAUAUAGCUUUUUAUUUUAUUUAAUACAUGUUAUGAUGCACAUGUGGUGCAUCAUGGAAACUUAAUAUUUGUUGACAGCUAGCCAUGUCGGCCACAUAUGUCUUGAAAUAAAAAGAACAUAUUUUUUCAAAGCAAUUUCAUGUGCUUCAUCAUGAAAACUUUAUACCGUCUGCAAAAGUUCAGCCAUGUUGGCUGCAUAUUUAAAAUAAAGUUAUACGUUUCUCAAAUGGGGAUGCUGACCUUGAUAUAUAUAGCAACAGAUGUGGUGCAUUGUGAUACUACGGCAUUGAGUGGCACCGCAGGCAGGGGCACAAUGCACACAUGCAACUUGGUGCAGGUUGAUUGAACCGGGGACCCAUCUUCCUACCCCAAGUUGCAUGUGUGCAUUGUGCCCCUCCCUGCGGUGCCACUCAAUGGCAUAGUAUCACAAUGCACCACAUCUGUUGCUAUAUAUAGCAUUUUGUUAUCAUGUCCGAAUGCAUUAUGCAUAAUGAAACCUUUAUUUUGUUGUUAAAAAGUUCAGCCAUUUUGGCUGCAUAUACAAUUGUGUCUUGAAAU